rnacentral:rRNA from 1 species
UCCGUAGGUGAACCUGCGGAAGGAUCAUUACAAAUCAGUGUUGGCUGCAUUGGGGGGGAUUGUGUGGUGGGUAGUGGUAGUCGCGGGAUGUGUCGCAAGAUACAUCUUGACGCUCCACUGCUCUCCUGCAUGCCCGACCUCCGAGCAGCUGCUCACAUUUGCGCUUGUUGUGUUUGACAGAGUAAACUAUUUAUGAAAUGAGACAACUUUUAACAAUGGAUCUCUUGGCUCUUGCAACGAUGAAGAACGCAGCAAAAUGCGAUACGUAGUGCGAUCUGCAUGAACCUGUGAGUCAUCGAGUCUUUGAACGCAACUUGCGCCACUUGUGGCAUGUCUGUUUGAGCACCAUAUACCUCUGUCGCAAGACGAACUGUCCAGUGCAUCGCUGGGCUAAAUGGUGUGAUAUCUAUCUGGGGUGCGCAGUAGCGAACCGAGCUAGAGGCGCUGGAUGGAAUCUGCUGGCUGUUACAGGCCAGUGGACGACACCAAUCACCUUGUCGGGCAAUCUACUAGGGGGCCCCCCCACACAUA